GGCCCAUGAAAUUCCGAAUUUAGCCGGACAGACAUUCGGUCCAAGGGCCCAUGCAGGAUGGACGCGCUGGAAACAGACCGCAAUCUGGGCCUCAAUCCGGCCCAAAAACUGCCCUGCCCACAGCGCAUAAAGGGGGAACAGUAGGUUGCCCUAACCGCCGCCGCACCCUUCAGCCACGGCGAGUAGGCCACCGCCGCCGCCGCCACGCCGCUGACACCACCUGCCGCUCCAUCUCCUCCUCAUUGCUUCUCUUCUACCGCGUUGCCAUGGGAGAGCCAGCAGGCGAGUGAGUGCCGCAGCCGCAGCCGCAAGGAGCGCCGCCGCUGCCACUGCCAAGUAUACCGGCCGGGACCGACGCUCUCGGUCUGCCGCUUCAGCUGCGAUGCCGCCGUCUCCGCAGCCGUUGGGGUGCGGGCGGUUGGGCUUCGCCGAAUCGCUGGCGUUGAGGCCGGCUACUGCCGUCCUCGGUGUGGGCGGGCACCGUCAGAGGGGGGCCCGCCACCUGACGCUGCUCUGGAAAGAGCCGCGGCCGUGGCCUAUGGGCAGGUGUCCUGGCUGCUGCCACUUUCGAAGCACGGAAGGGCGUGGAUGUGCCGAUUUGUCGGUGAUUUUUCUACCCUUGGCAAUAGCGCGGGGUGCUUAUCCUUAGUCCGAUUAUCCUUAGUCCGAUUUCUUGAACAUAGAAUAUUUAGAUAUUAAUUAGAAGUAUUAAAUUUAAUUAAUCUAUGAUUAAUUUGAAUUAAAGUAUGAUAAAUUGUGCAAUUCGA
rnacentral:lncRNA from 1 species